rnacentral:lncRNA from 1 species
GCUCCAGGUUGGAGCUGGGAGCUUGUCUUUUGUUUACUGGCGCAGUGGCACUUGAGAACUUGGAGCCAAUGUGGACACGUUGGACUGUGGACAAGUUGAAGGGUGUGUGAGUUGGCUUCUUGAUUCUUUUCAGUAGAUACGAGACUCUGGUCAAGCAGUGUUAAGUCUGCCAUCCACCCUCUGCCCUGGUUCGGUUCUAUUUUGUUUGUUGUGUGUUCUGCCGCCUUCUAAGUCUUGCGUCUUACGUACGGGCCCGUACGCCGUAAAUUCACUUUGAAAAGCACCUAAAGCCCUGCCCUGGCCCAGGCGGUGCCAUCAAUUAGGGUAUUAAUUGCACAGACGAAAGACGGGAAGCUUCCCUGCCUCCUGUCCAUGAG